rnacentral:rRNA from 1 species
GAUGAACGCUGGCGGCGUGCCUAAUACAUGCAAGUCGAGCGAACGGACGAGAAGCUUGCGUCUCUGAUGUUAGCGGCGGACGGGUGAGUAACACGUGGAUAACCUACCUAUAAGACUGGGAUAACUUCGGGAAACCGUAGCUAAUACCGGAUAAUAUUUUGAACCGCAUGGUUCAAAAGUGAAAGACGGUCUUUCUGUCACUUAUAGAUGGAUCCGCGCUGCAUUAGCUAGUUGGUAAGGUAACGGCUUACCAAGGCAACGAUGCAUAGCCGACCUGAGAGGGUGAUCGGCCACACUGGAACUGAGACACGGCCCAGACUCCUACGGGAGGCCGCAGUAGGGAAUCUUCCGCAAUGGGCGAAAGCCUGACGGAGCAACGCCGCGUGAGUGAUGAAGGUCUUCGGAUCGGAAAACUCUGUUAUUAGGGAAGAACAUAUGUGUAAGUAACUGUGCACAUCUUGACGGUACCUAAUCAGAAAGCCACGGCUAACUACGUG